AGCUUUGCACAGUGGCAGUAUCGUAGCCAAUGAGGUUUAUCCGAGGCGCGAUUAUUACUCAUGGAAUAUGAAAACACUAAUUGGCUUCAUUCCUGGUUUUUCGAGGAAUGGCUUUCAACUGUGACCUCUUAGGU
ensembl:snRNA U4 U4 spliceosomal RNA